rnacentral:rRNA from 1 species
UACGAAGGGGGCUAGCGUUGCUCGGAAUUACUGGGCGUAAAGCGUGCGCAGGCGGUGAUGUAAGACAGGGGUGAAAUCCCCGGGCUUAACCUGGGAACUGCAUUUGUGACUGCAUCGCUGGAGUGCGGCAGAGGGGGAUGGAAUUCCGCGUGUAGCAGUGAAAUGCGUAGAUAUGCGGAGGAACACCGAUGGCGAAGGCAAUCCCCUGGGCCUGCACUGACGCUCACGCACGAAAGCGUGGGGAGCAAACAGG